rnacentral:ncRNA from 1 species
ACGGGGAUGCUUACUACUUCGAUGUCGACUUACCACAUCCUGGAUACGAAGCAAUAUCCAAGGGUUCGGGUGUUCACCGAUUAAAGUGGUUCGUGAGUUGGGUUCAGACCGUCGUAAGACAGGUCGGUUUUUAUCUGCUGUGAGGGACUUGAAGAAUGAGGGAGAAUGUCUCUAGUACGAGAGGACCGAGAUAUGUAAGCCAAUAGUGUUUCAGUUGUCAUCUGUCAAUGGCACGCUGGGUAGCCACGCUUAUCCGAGAUAAUUGCUGAAAGCAUAUAAGCAAGAAGCUCUUCCCAACACGAUUCUUCUUUAAGAAUGGUGGAAGACUACCACCUUGAUAGGCUACAGGUGUAAGUGAUGUGAAUCAUUGAGCUGAGUAGUACUAAUCUUCAGUAAAUUUUAAUUG